rnacentral:lncRNA from 1 species
CGGAUUUGCAUUAGAAUGCUUUCAGCUGCAAGUAAUAGAAUUCUCAACUCAUAUUGAGUUGGGCUCCUCAAAAGCAGACCCUGAGACAAGGUUUUGGGCUUAUGUAAUUUAUUUAGGAGGUGACCCCAAGGUCAAGUAGAGCACGUUUUUAGGAAAAAUAAAAGUAAAAAAAGGAAGCUAAAAGAGCCAGUAAAUGGCAUAUUAAUAUGAAGUUUCUACUGUAGGCAACUGGGACUCCUUUGGAAUCCUCUGAGAAAACUCACUUCAGAAAUGAGUUGUCUGCAGCCCUUCCAAACAUUACAAGAUCUCACGUUGUCACCCAGACCGGAGUGCAAUGGUGUCAUCAUAGCUCACUGCAGCCUCAAACUCUACGCUCAAGUGAUCUUCCCACCUUAGCCUCCUGAGUGGCUGGGACUACAGGGUGGAUGUUGGUGUCUUCUAUACAGCCUGCACUCAGUGAAAUUCUCUUCAAAUAAAUUAGGAGAUUCUAUUUUUGGAUAUGAAAUAUCUUUAUCCAGUUCUGGAUGCUGCUUUAUGGCUCGAGUUUUUUUUAGAUUAGUGCAACCAUAUUGUUUCUCUAGUUUUUGAGAUGGAAUUUUUAAUAUCCACCAGAGCUUCAGGCUUUACAUGAUUCGAAGCAGCUCAUUAUAUUCAGAUAAUAAAA